AUGAUGUCUGGAUACCAGGCGAGCCAUUCCAACACUCACGGCCGCUUGGGCCAUCCCAACAACACAUCCUUUCCAGCCCAAAUUCCAGGCUGGACCAAACGCACCCUCCUGAAUGAGGCCAAGAGCCUCAAGUGCCUCCCCACCCAGAGUGGCUCUGGCUUGGAGUCCAGCAGCUGCAGCAGCUGCUCUGAGCAGCCCUUCAACCCCACUAGGCUUCUGCUAGGGAGAAUCUGCAUGGGCCGGCCCUGCUACUCCAAGUACGUAGAAACAAGUCACCUGGUGAACCCCAAGGUGGCCAGAAAGACCGCUUUCCAGGGCAGCCCCUGCUGCCUGCUCUGUAAGGAUUGUCCCUCGGACUCCUCCAGCCCCACGUUCCUGGACGAGCUCAUCAAAGGCAUCAACUACCUGGACCAAUCCACCAAUGCCUGUAACAGCUGCCACAAGACAUUGCAGAGCCUGCCAAAGCUUGCAGCCAACUACCUGGAAAGGGCUGCCAGCUCCCUCAACCUAGACCACCAGGACCGCCCCUUGUCCCAAAGUUACUCCAGCCCCAGCACCAGCGUGACCAUCCCAAACAACUCCACCACCAGCACCUGCAUGGUGCCGUCCCUCAGGGGUGCCAGUGCCCUGCAGUGCCUGGAUGACUCCACCAACACGAGUUAUCCGUGCAGGUCUCAUUGCCAGAACUUCACUAUCGCGCUGCCGCGGGGUCCACGUACAAAGCUGCCUGAGCUCCCUUUGCUUAGCAAUGGGCUCUUUGCCUUAGGUUGUCUACCCAAGGUCUGGGAAGCAAUCUGCUCAGGCUGGAGUGCCCCUGAGCCCACCUCCAAACCCCCAAGCUGGUGGUGA
rnacentral:sRNA from 1 species